rnacentral:lncRNA from 1 species
GGCUGGAGGCUCGCAGACUCUGAAAAGAGACAAAGAGAAGAAGAAUUUGGGCUUCCUGUAGACGCGCUCUUUCCUGUGCAACAGAGCUGGGCCUCCCUCUCUUUAUUUCCCCCUUAACAUGCUUAGGGGGCAUACACCCCAUGCCUUCCCCUUUUCUUCCUGCGAAUGUUUAUAGAAGCCUGAGAGUCAAAUGACGAUGUCUGGCCCCUGACCAAGAAGCCAACAAUCACGUGGCUUGGAGAUACAUUCCAUACCUCAGUCCCUCUCCUAGUACCCUCAGCCAUAUGCACCCCCACUUCCCCAAUCUAUCUUCGCCAGACUGUCAUGUGUUUACGGGUUGCUGUUUGCCACAUUUUAUGUACUCCAUUUGAAUUCCACUGAUACUUGUUUCCUUGAAGUAUUUCCAGCCACUGACUGGAUAAGACUCCUGCAUCCUUGUCACUGGGAUUGUUCUCCCACUCCUAAUGCCAGGAGCAUAGCCCCUCAUCACAGGUUCUAAAAGAAUUGCUGGAGAUGCCUAUUUCUUCUACUAUCUUAGCCCAGCCCUUUCUCGAUUCCAUUUCCUCGGAAUCACUUUGCACAAGCUAUGUUAAAAGUCAGCCACACAUUUAUUUACACCAAGCCCUUCCUAUACAAAAUACAACUGCUGGGGCAGACAGUCUAUACUCCCCCUCUGUAAUUCUGGGUACCUCACAGAUACAGAAGGGACAAUAAACCAGAAUGUCAUUACC